GAUCACCUUCCCGUUCACCGACAUCCUCCACUGGGUCUCUACAGCUGGGCACAGCUGCUUCCGGCUGGAACUGCAGCUGUGAUGUGUCACAGCGCCCCCCGGAGGCCGGACCGGACCGUCACCUGCUGCCGCCCAACAGAACACUGUUCAGCCUCAGUGUCAGUCCUCCUGCCUGCAUCUCCAAACUGCAUGCAGAAUGACAUCUACUGCAGGUAAUACACUCACUAAACACCUCAUACAACCCCACUUCACUCAACCUGAACUAUCCCUUCAAUAACUGCAGCAAAGAAGAAAUGCUUUGUACGACUUAACUUACAUGUCAGUGUGAAGAAAGGCUGUCAGAUCUGCAGACAGAGAUCUAACUGUUGUCAGCCGGAAACUGAAGCUAAAAAUCUACUGAAAGAUUCAGAGUCUUUGAGGCAUUUCUUCUAAUGAGCUUGUGUUUGUUGUUUUGUUUUUGUGGGCAGAAUUGUGUGACCUUGUUUUGUGAGGCGGUUGAAAUGCAGUUAAUCAUUACAUGCUAAUGUCUCUUGGCUAUGAACACAGAAAAACAGGCUAUGAACAGAUUUAAAAAUCCAUUAAAGGCAGUCCAUAAAGCUGACCUGAGCUCUAAUUAUUGUGUAUUGACUGAGCUUGUCUUUAUCUUGAUUAUAUUCUGUUAAUAUUGCAGAAGUGAAUGUUUGGAAACUGUUUUACAAUGCUGAGCAGUUACAUGUAGUUAUUACUUCCCUGGUGGGACAGCGGAUUUCUUUGCCAUUCUUUUUUCUCAGAGGCUGAAGUGAGCUCAAUUUUAAGGCUGUAGAGAAGAUACUGAUAUGAAACUAGAAGUUCUGACGAAUCGAUUGGUACCAACCGUGUCUUUAUAUCAUCAUUAUUAAUAAGUGCAGACAGUCUGUCAGUGAACCUUCAGACUCCUGAAGAGGCUGUAGUAAGAUAUCUGAAUGAAAAUGGGCUCUAUGGGCCAGAUGUCUCUCUUUACAUGCCUGUUUUAUGAUGAUAACUUGCAGUUUAAGUCAAAAAACGUGU